GUGCCAGCAGCCGCGGUAAUACGUAGGUGGCAAGCGUUGUCCGGAAUUAUUGGGCGUAAAGCGCGCGCAGGCGGUUCCUUAAGUCUGAUGUGAAAGCCCCCGGCUCAACCGGGGAGGGUCAUUGGAAACUGGGGAACUUGAGUGCAGAAGAGAAGAGUGGAAUUCCACGUGUAGCGGUGAAAUGCGUAGAGAUGUGGAGGAACACCAGUGGCGAAGGCGACCCUUUGGUCUGUAACUGACGCUGAGGCGCGAAAGCGUGGGGAGCAAACAGGAUUAGAUACCCUGGUAGUCCACGCCGUAAACGAUGAGUGCUAAGUGUUAGAGGGUUUCCGCCCUUUAGUGCUGCAGCAAACGCAUUAAGCACUCCGCCUGGGGAGUACGGCCGCAAGGCUGAAACUCAAAGGAAUUGACGG
rnacentral:rRNA from 1 species